rnacentral:rRNA from 1 species
CAGCGCCACAAGUGGCAAUCACGUUUAUUGGGCCUAAAGCGUCCGUAGCCGGUUUAGCAAAUCUUUUGUGAAAUCGUCAGGCUUAACUUGACGAAUUGCAGAAGACACUACUAAACUAGGGACUGGGAGGAGUCAGAAGUAUUCUGGGGGGACCGGUAAAAUGGUAUAAUCCCUGGAAGACUACCGAUGGCGAAGGCAUCUGACCAGAACGGAUCCGACGGUGAGGGACGAAAGCUAGGGGAGCGAACCGGAUUAGAUACCCGAGUAGUCC